CUACGCAGGGGGCGAGCGUUGUCCGGAAUGAUUGGGCGUAAAGGGCGCGUAGGCGGCCCGGUAAGUCUGGAGUGAAAGUCCUGUUUUUAAGAUGGGAAUUGCUUUGGAUACUGUCGGGCUUGAGUGCAGGAGAGGCAAGUGGAAUUCCCAGUGUAGCGGUGAAAUGCGUAGAGAUUGGGAGGAACACCAGUGGCGAAGGCGACUUACUGGACUGUAACUGACGCUGAGGCGCGAAAGUGUGGGGAGCAAACAGGAUUAGAUACCCUGGUAGUCCACACUGUAAACGAUGAAUGCUAGGUGUAGGGGGUAUCGACCCCUUCUGUGCCGCAGUCAACACAAUAAGCAUUCCGCCUGGGGAGUACGGCCGCAAGGUUGAAACUCAAAUGAAUUGACGGGG
rnacentral:rRNA from 1 species